CCUACGGGAGGCAGCAGUGGGGAAUAUUGCACAAUGGGGGAAACCCUGAUGCAGCGACGCCGCGUGCGCGAUGAAGUAUUUCGGUAUGUAAAGUUCUAUCAGCAGGGAAGAAAAUUACGGUACCUGACUAAUUACCCCCGGCCAACUCCGUGUCAGCCGCCGCGGUCUUACGUGGGGGGCAAGCGUUUACCGGUUCUACUGGGGGGAAAGGCAGCGUAGACGGGUUGGCAAGCCAGAUAGGAAAGGCUGGGGUUUAACCCCAGGAUGGCAUUGGGAACUAUCAAGCUAGAGUGUGGGAGAGGCAAGCGGAAUUCCAAGUGUAGCGGUGAAAUGCGUAGAUAUUAGGAGGAACACCAGAGGCGAAGGCGGCCUGCUGGACGAAGACUGACGUUGAGGCUCGAAAGCGUGGGGAGCAAACAGGAUUAGAUACCCUAGUAGUC
rnacentral:rRNA from 1 species